AAUAUGUUUAUCGUUUAAGUCUUACCCUGCUAUUGGGUAUUUGCUCAAAUUCUUUGAAAGCUGGAUGUGUUGACAUCCUUGGUUCAAGAUUUGCAAUAAAACUUUUUGUCAACAGCAAAAAACAGGUAUCACAAGCUACUUGUGACCUACCCACGGAUAAGAGUUAAAGCUCCUUCUUUGGAUCAAAAAAAAUUGCUUUCAGUUUUUGGAUUCAUUUCAGAAAGGAACGCUCAAUUUAAGUACAAACAAGUAACAUAUUAUAGUAGGUAAAAUAUUAA